rnacentral:rRNA from 1 species
CGGGCCAUUGCCCUAGUAACGGCGAGUGAAGCGGCAACAGCUCAAAUUUGAAAUCUGGCUCUCGGGCCCGAGUUGUAAUUUGUAGAGGAUGCUUUUGAUGCGGUGCCUUCCGAGUUCCCUGGAACGGGACGCCAUAGAGGGUGAGAGCCCCGUCUGGUUGGAUGCCAAAUCUCUGUAAAGCUCCUUCGACGAGUCGAGUAGUUUGGGAAUGCUGCUCUAAAUGGGAGGUAUAUGUCUUCUAAAGCUAAAUACCGGCCAGAGACCGAUAGCGCACAAGUAGAGUGAUCGAAAGAUGAAAAGCACUUUGAAAAGAGAGUUAAAAAGUACGUGAAAUUGUUGAAAGGGAAGCGUUUAUGACCAGACUUGGGCUUGGUUAAUCAUCUGGGGUUCUCCCCAGUGCACUUUUCCAGUCCAGGCCAGCAUCAGUUUUCGCCGGGGGAUAAAGGCUUCGGGAAUGUGGCUCUCUCCGGGGAGUGUUAUAGCCCGUUGCGUAAUACCCUGGCGGGGACUGAGGUUCGCGCAUCUGCAAGGAUGCUGGCGUAAUGGUCAUCAACGACCCGUCUUGAAACCAGG